CAUGCAAGUCGAACGAGAGAGAAGGAGCUUGCUUCUUCGAUCGAGUGGCGAACGGGUGAGUAACGCGUGAGGAACCUGCCUCAAAGAGGGGGACAACAGUUGGAAACGACUGCUAAUACCGCAUAAGCCCACGGGUCGGCAUCGAUCUGAGGGAAAAGGAGCAAUCCGCUUUGAGAUGGCCUCGCGUCCGAUUAGCUAGUUGGUGAGGUAACGGCCCACCAAGGCGACGACCGGUAGCCGGACUGAGAGGUUGAACGGCCACAUUGGGACUGAGACACGGCCCAGACUCCUACGGGAGGCAGCAGUGGGGAAUAUUGCACAAUGGGGGAAACCCUGAUGCAGCGACGCCGCGUGGAGGAAGAAGGUCUUCGGAUUGUAAACUCCUGUUGUUGAGGAAGAUAAUGACGGUACUCAACAAGGAAGUGACGGCUAACUACGUGCCAGCAGCCGCGGUAAAACGUAGGUCACAAGCGUUGUCCGGAAUUACUGGGUGUAAAGGGAGCGCAGGCGGGAAGACAAGUUGGAAGUGAAAUCUAUGGGCUCAACCCAUAAACUGCUUUCAAAACUGUUUUUCUUGAGUAGUGCAGAGGUAGGCGGAAUUCCCGGUGUAGCGGUGGAAUGCGUAGAUAUCGGGAGGAACACCAGUGGCGAAGGCGGCCUACUGGGCACCAACUGACGCUGAGGCUCGAAAGUGUGGGUAGCAAACAGGAUUAGAUACCCUGGUAGUCCACACCGUAAACGAUGAUUACUAGGUGUUGGAGGAUUGACCCCUUCAGUGCCGCAGUUAACACAAUAAGUAAUCCACCUGGGGAGUACGACCGCAAGGUUGAAACUCAAAGGAAUUGACGGGGGCCCGCACAAGCAGUGGAGUAUGUGGUUUAAUUCGACGCAACGCGAAGAACCUUACCAAGUCUUGACAUCCUGCGACGAUGCUAGAA
rnacentral:rRNA from 1 species